CCGUCAGGCCGUAGGCCCCGCAGCGCCGCCGCGGAGGCUGCCCAGCGGCCCAGUGGCGGGAGGGAGGGAGCGGGCAAGUCCCUGUGGCCACCCAGCCCUGAGCUGACCCGACCCGUGCUCUCCCCGGGAAGCUGACUCAACCGGAAACUGCCCUGGGCCGCUCUUAACCACGCCGAGGUUGGUGUUUUACAAAAGUGACGAGGUUGCUCUUUCAGAAGCUGACCUCAAGUUGAACCACCUGCCAAGUAAGACAUAAGAUUUGCCUCUUGCAGAGAGAGGUCUACUUAAUGAGACUUUAAGCCCAGAGAAACGACAUCUAAAGUUGAAUGCUCAGGCACCCUGGCUGGUGUAGAGGAUUCCUCCUGCAAAUGACACGUAGGGGAGGUGGUCAUCCGGUCUGCGGCAGAUGCUGCUAAGAGCCAAUGGUUGAUUCCUAACUCGAUGGUUUGGCACCUAGGACAGGACACAGAAGCGAAGCACGACUUGAGCCUAAUUAAGAAGAAGGGUUAAGCUGUCAGGCUCUGGGGUCAGACUGAACAAUUUCAAAUCCUCCCUGUGCACGUUUACUGUGUGCCUGUGGCAUUACGGUGGAGACCUUAGUGCAUCAGUGCCUUUUUUUUAAUGCCACAAAUUUCCCUUUAUUAAGUAGUCAAGACAAAACCACAUAGUAAAUAUAUAUACUCUAACAACAUAGCCAUUUGAAAAAAUAGUGCACGUAAAUUAAAAGAAAAAAUGUUUUAAUUAA